GCAUCAUUAUCUGCUAUCAUUGGGGGCCAACUGUGAAGCAUUUCCCAACAACAACAAAACUCUAACCAACUGUACUUUUGAAGACAAAUAAAGAACAGAAAAUUAUAUUUAAAAAGCUGUUAUCUCAGGAGUGUGAACAUUUUCCAGUGGUCCUGCAUCAGUCUGAUUUUGUGCAGUAUCCGACUUGAAUUCCAGUGGCUAUAGGUAAGAAACAGAAAGCCUCUCUAACAUACCUAACAUCAGUAGCUAUGUCUACAUGUAUCACAGUCUGCACAGUUGAGAGAGCCU
rnacentral:lncRNA from 1 species